rnacentral:rRNA from 1 species
ACGAACGCUGGCGGCACGCUUAACACAUGCAAGUCGAACGAGAGAAGAGAAGCUUGCUUUUCUGAUCUAGUGGCGGACGGGUGAGUAACACGUGAGCAAUCUGCCUUUCAGAGGGGGAUACCGAUUGGAAACGAUCGUUAAUACCGCAUAAUAUAAUUGAACCGCAUGAUUUGAUUAUCAAAGAUUUAUCGCUGAAAGAUGAGCUCGCGUCUGAUUAGCUAGUUGGUAAGGUAACGGCUUACCAAGGCGACGAUCAGUAGCCGGACUGAGAGGUUGAUCGGCCACAUUGGGACUGAGACACGGCCCAGACUCCUACGGGAGGCAGCAGUGGGGAAUAUUGCACAAUGGAGGAAACUCUGAUGCAGCGAUGCCGCGUGAGGGAAGAAGGUUUUAGGAUUGUAAACCUCUGUCUUCAGGGACGAAAAAAGACGGUACCUGAGGAGGAAGCUCCGGCUAACUACGUGCCAGCAGCCGCGGUAAUACGUAGGGAGCGAGCGUUGUCCGGAAUUACUGGGUGUAAAGGGAGCGUAGGCGGGAUCGCAAGUCAGAUGUGAAAACUAUGGGCUUAACCCAUAUACUGCAUUUGAAACUGUGGUUCUUGAGUGAAGUAGAGGUAAGCGGAAUUCCUAGUGUAGCGGUGAAAUGCGUAGAUAUUAGGAGGAACAUCAGUGGCGAAGGCGGCUUACUGGGCUUUAACUGACGCUGAGGCUCGAAAGCGUGGGGAGCAAACAGGAUUAGAUACCCUGGUAGUCCACGCCGUAAACGAUGAUUACUAGGUGUGGGGGGACUGACCCCUUCCGUGCCGCAGCAAACGCAAUAAGUAAUCCACCUGGGGAGUACGACCGCAAGGUUGAAACCCAAAGGAAUUGACGGGGGCCCGCACAAGCAGUGGAGUAUGUGGAUUAAUUCGAAGCAACGCGAAGAACCUUACCAGGUCUUGACAUCGUAUGCAUAGCUCAGAGAUGAGUGAAAUCUCUUCGGAGACAUAUAGACAGGUGGUGCAUGGUUGUCGUCAGCUCGUGUCGUGAGAUGUUGGGUUAAGUCCCGCAACGAGCGCAACCCUUACUGUUAGUUGCUACGCAAGAGCACUCUAGCAGGACUGCCGUUGACAAAACGGAGGAAGGUGGGGAUGACGUCAAAUCAUCAUGCCCCUUAUGACCUGGGCCUCACACGUACUACAAUGGCUGUUAACAGAGGGAUGCAAAGCCGCGAGGUGGAGCGAACCCCUAAAAGCAGUCUUAGUUCGGAUUGUAGGCUGCAACCCGCCUACAUGAAGUCGGAAUUGCUAGUAAUCGCAGAUCAGCAUGCUGCGGUGAAUACGUUCCCGGGCCUUGUACACACCGCCCGUCACGCCAUGGGAGUCGGUAACACCCGAAGCCUGUAGUCUAACCGCAAGGAGGACGCAGUCGAAGGUGGGAUUGAUGACUGGGGUG